CCGACCUUAGAACGGAAUUGUGGAAUCUAGUGAGUGACUAAACUUGGGAGGGAUUUAGUAUAUAUGAAGAGAGAGUUUGUUAGAGGUUUUUUUCA